UAAUAUUGAUAAUAACCGGUGCGACUACAACAAACUGCAGUUUUGCAAUUAUAGAGAACUAUGACUUUUCAUCAACCAAAGUCGGCGCUGCGUAAAAAAAUAAUGUCGAAGAAUUGCUAUAAGUACUCAUUUUUUAUAGCUGUUGGAAGUGUGACUCUUGAAAAUAAAUAAUAUACGAUAAACAAAAAAGAAACCGUAAGAUUAUUUUACAUCACUUUGGUCUUUACGUCUGAAGAUUUGUCUCUACUCAUAAUAUUAUAGUAGGUACGAGGUACCUAUAUAAUAUAUUGUAUUGUACGAAAUCGGAGAAAUUUCCUUGUAUUGUAUUAUACAGACUAUUGUGAGUAGCCUGUAGCCCGUAAUGCAAUAUUAUGGUAUAUUGCAAGUUAAAAUGAUUAUAAUAUCUAUUAUCUAGGAGGCAUUAGAUGUUGCUUACUAUACUGCUGUAGUUGUUCUUCUAUGAAUGUUGAUAAACCAAAAGAUUCUGCAUAAUGUGAUAUUUGGAUGUAAUUCUGAACAUUGGAUGAGAUCAGACAAAGAAACUCUGAUUAGAACCCAUAAAUUAUGUUCUAAACAUUUCACGAAGAAUUUCACAAAAAAUCCAAAACAAAAUAGACUUGCCAAAUGCAAUUCUGACAUUGUUUGAAACAAUUUUCUAUUUAAACCGAAAAUUCAGCGCAUGUGUCUAAUUCUCAAUAUUCACACUUGAGUCGUAUCUGAAGUGUCGAUUGAAACCGUUUCUUCAGGUGCUCAAACUCCAAAUUCUUUAUCUGCCAAAUAUUUCCACAGAAUCGUUAAUUGCAAAAAAAACCUUUCCGAUUUUCUCAGCUCAAAUAAAGAAGUUUGAAAAACAAUAUUGGUGAAGAGACGUUCAGUAGAUACAACUGUUCUCAACCAUAGGGUCGCCAAAAAAUUAGUUAUAAUAAUAUUAUUAACAUAUUAAGUAAUAUGAGUAAAAAAAAAAUUAAUUAAUUAAGUGUAAUAGAGUUUCUUUUAUUUAUGGAAAUUGAUAAUAUUGGUCUUUAUGUAAAAACCUUUAUAACUGGUCAAGGAUUAUUUUGCCAAGAUUAUUUUCAACAUUUCCCUGGAGCAAAUUGUAUGGAGACCUUGAUCAAACUUUACAUAAAAUGAAUGACUAACCUCUAUUAAUAUUUUCAAUGUAAUAAGUCCUCAUCAACAAAAUAUUUUUAAAUUAUAUUCAAUUGUUGUACAGUAGAUUAUAGAUUAUAAGCAUUUAAGUAUAGUAGAAAACAUGCUUUCACAAUUUCACAUACGUAUGUGGAUAUUUAAUAAGUAUUAUUAUUAUUAUUAUUAAUAAUAUGUAAUAAGUUUGGAGAAACAUGUUUGUGAAAUUUGUAUCAAUUAUGCUAACUAUCUUAAAUUAUUAGACUGGUCUUUUUUACUAUCUUUCUUUAAAUCUUAUUCUUAUUCUAACAACUCAGCUUACUUAGUUAAUUAGUACACCCCAUGACAAUUUUCACUAUUAUUCUAUAGACUUAGAACAUAUUUUCUGGACAAUUUUUGCAAUAGAAGAUGUUGUUAUGCCUCAAUUAAAACAUUUUUUUUUAUUAAUUUUGUAAUAUUGUGUCAUUUAUGAAAUUAAUUUUAAUUUUUUACC